rnacentral:rRNA from 1 species
AGAACGAACGCUGGCGGCAUGCCUAACACAUGCAAGUCGAACGAGACCUUCGGGUCUAGUGGCGCACGGGUGCGUAACGCGUGGGAAUCUGCCCUUGGGUUCGGGAUAACAGUUGGAAACGACUGCUAAUACCGGAUGAUGACUUCGGUCCAAAGAUUUAUCGCCCAGGGAUGAGCCCGCGUCGGAUUAGCUAGUUGGUGGGUAAAGCCUACCAAGGCAACGAUCCGUAGCUGGUCUGAGAGGAUGAUCAGCCACACUGGGACUGAGACACGGCCCAGACUCCUACGGAGGCAGCAGUGGGGAAUAGUUGACAAGUGGGACGAAAGCCUGACUCCAGGCAAUGACCGCGU